rnacentral:rRNA from 1 species
GACGAACGCUGGCGGCGUGCCUAAUACAUGCAAGUCGAACGCUUCUUUCCUCCCGAGUGCUUGCACUCAAUUGGAAAGAGGAGUGGCGGACGGGUGAGUAACACGUGGGUAACCUACCCAUCAGAGGGGGAUAACACUUGGAAACAGGUGCUAAUACCGCAUAACAGUUUAUGCCGCAUGGCAUAAGAGUGAAAGGCGCUUUCGGGUGUCGCUGAUGGAUGGACCCGCGGUGCAUUAGCUAGUUGGUGAGGUAACGGCUCACCAAGGCCACGAUGCAUAGCCGACCUGAGAGGGUGAUCGGCCACACUGGGACUGAGACACGGCCAAGACUCCUAAGGGAGGCAGCAGUAGGGAAUCUUCGGCAAUGGACGAAAGUCUGACCGAGCAACGCCGCGUGAGUGAAGAAGGUUUUCGGAUCGUAAAACUCUGUUGUUAGAGAAGAACAAGGACGUUAGUAACUGAACGUCCCCUGACGGUAUCUAACCAGAAAGCCACGGCUAACUACGUG